AUGGCACCACUGAAGAGGAAAUCACAGAGAAAAGGGGAAGAGACAGUGAAACAUGAAGACUGGAUAGUUAGACAGAUGAUGAAAGUAAGUCUGAUUUCCCUCGCCCUAUGCCUUCCUCACCUCCUCGACACUGCUGUCCUCCAUUCCACCACAGAGGCUUCCCUGAGCCCAACCAAAAAGCCACGAACAUUUUUGGACCUCAGAUUAAGCCACACGACACCAGAAACCCUGAAACCUUCAGUCUCUACAACCGAAACUCAACCUGGGUGGACUAAAGGCAUGUUCAACAGCCAAAAAGAGACAACGGCCGGGUUGGCACAGGUCAAAGACUCAGGUGGCACAACUAAAGGGGACCUUGUCAGAAGAGGAAUUUCCCUUUAUGCUGUCACAGCCGUCAAGAACCUCAACGGGCAUGCACCUGCAGGUGGGUCCAGGUGGGAAAAAGAAAUACACAGUUCCCAUGGGGCCCUUCUGAAUGGUGAACACACAUCCUUGCCCAGUGCCAACCAACAUAGCACUCUCCCAGGGGAGGAAAGGGCCACGUAUCAUGACAGCAGCACCACUGAUACAGCCAGAGAACUGAUCACACCAAAUUCCACAGGGACGUGGGCUGCAGACAGCGUUAACUACACCAGGCUAGCGACUACACUCUUUGAUGAGUCCCCAAAAGACCAACAAACUGCAACACCCAAAGGCUUAGAGAGUGCACGUUCAGCUACUCCCGCUGGGAACUACUACAGAGAAAAGAGCGACUUCUUUAUGAGCACUUCCUCUAGUAGAACGACCGGUUCCAACAAAAGUAAACAAAGUGGGUAUAGCAGUGCCAUUCCAACGGUAUCCCCUAAUUACACAGUCACACUUCCAGGCACAUAUGAGCACAUGACUGUGACAACCAAGGCUGCUAACUUGAAAACACAGCGUGAAGACACAAACCAGUCUGUGGUCAACAGGGUCACCUCCAUGGCUUCAAUACUCCAUGCCAACAUCAGCAAAACUCUUCACCGUGGCACUAACAAUGCACUGGAUUACAACAUAGAUGAAUAUGCAAAGGAACUUUGGAACAGUAGCAGUUCCAGAACUUCGAAGGACCAUAACCAGACUGUUCUUUUGUAUGACGAAACAUCCCUCUCAGGGCAGGGCAACGGGUUAAAUAACAUAACUGCAUUCGACCACACGGCUCACCCUGAGUGUAGAGAGGAAGACGAGAUGCAGGCGUCUGUGCUGCACGGCCCUAGCAGACUAGUCUGUUUCGUCAUUCUGUGGGCUCUAGCAAUGACCGCUUCUGUCUCCCUGGGUCUCAGCAUCUUCCUGUGGGUGCGGAUGUCAGUCCAGAAAGAUAAGAAAAGAGUAGGAGAUGGAAGACGGGAAAGGGCAUCAAAGGUGAAUCUGGAGAGCCUGUGGACGGACCAAACAACAUCGGUGGAAGAGAGGGUGGAAUUCUGGUACGCCAACGGCACCACCCUUGGACAUAACCAACAGGGGAGGGAAAGAAAGAGGGAGUGGAGGGAGGAGAAGGGAAACGGUGGGAAGGGGAAGGAAAAAUGGAGAGGGAGUGAAUGUGAGAGCCUGUGGAUUCAGCCAAAGGUGACAUUGGAAGACAUCACAGAUUUCUGGUACGCAAAUGGCCGAAUGAGACCGGAAGAACCAACAGACCAGAGGUUGUUGGAAACAUGUGUAUAA
rnacentral:lncRNA from 1 species